UACGAAGGGGACUAGCGUUGUUCGGAAUCACUGGGCGUAAAGCGCACGUAGGCGGAUUUGUAAGUCAGGGGUGAAAUCCCGGGGCUCAACCUCGGAACUGCCUUUGAUACUGCGAAUCUUGAGUCCGAUAGAGGUGGGUGGAAUUCCUAGUGUAGAGGUGAAAUUCGUAGAUAUUAGGAAGAACACCGGUGGCGAAGGCGGCCCACUGGAUCGGUACUGACGCUGAGGAGCGAAAGCGUGGGGAGCGAACAGG
rnacentral:rRNA from 1 species